rnacentral:rRNA from 1 species
GACGAACGCUGGCGGCGUGCUUAACACAUGCAAGUCGAACGGAAAGGCCCUGCUUUUGUGGGGUGCUCGAGUGGCGAACGGGUGAGCAACACGUGAGUAACCUGCCCUUGACUUUGGGAUAACUUCAGGAAACUGGGGCUAAUACCGGAUAGGAGCUCCUGCUGCAUGGUGGGGGUUGGAAAGUUUCGGCGGUUGGGGAUGGACUCGCGGCUUAUCAGCUUGUUGGUGGGGUAGUGGCUUACCAAGGCUUUGACGGGUAGCCGGCCUGAGAGGGUGACCGGCCACAUUGGGACUGAGGUACGGCCCAGACUCCUACGGGAGGCAGCAGUGGGGAAUAUUGCACAAUGGGCGGAAGCCUGAUGCAGCAACGCCGCGUGCGGGAUGACGGCCUUCGGGUUGUAAACCGCUUUCGCCUGUGACGAAGCGUGAGUGACGGUAAUGGGUAAAGAAGCACCGGCUAACUACGUG